UAUGAUUGAAUCAUCACAAUGUAAUUUAUCUUUCUUGAAUAUAUGCAUUUUUGUGUGACAGGCUGAUUUUUUUUUCCUUGGAGGGUAGAGUCAUUGUAUUGAUGAAAUACCAAGGAAACAAACAAAAAUGAAAUGUGGAUAAGCUAAAAAUCUGAAAUUAGAUUAGUUGUUGAGUAAAUAUACACAAUACGCAAAGAAAAAAGAUUAGUAUCAAAAUCCAGAAACAAUGGGGAAGGAUAAAAAUUCUAAACAUUUGAAGAUGAAAAUAUAUUUACAUCUAGUCAAUUUAGUUUAACAAUAGGUAAAUGCCACAAAAAGGGGGUCAAAACAAUACUGUUACCAUUAUUCACUAGGGGUUUGAUGGCCAAAAUUAAAACAACCCUCUGGUUAACUUUUCACCUUGAUUUUGCAUUUCCCUAUGUCUUUAGUUUGGUCACUUCCUUUUCCUCCAAAGAUCCCACAUUAAGGAUGGGGGAAGGGAGUGAAUAUUAAUUUGCAGAGAAGCAGCUCAUUACAUGACCAUUUUGAGUAACACCCAAAUCCUUAUGUAAACAUGGAUCAUGUGUUGAGCUUUUAAUGAGUAUGAAUGCUUUCAAGGUAGGAUUUCAAGUAUUCUAAAGUUAAAUGCUAAAAGUGUUUUGUUUCCAGUGACUAAAGAGCUAGCUAUUUUGGAAUUAAAACAUAACUGGGAAUGCAAGGUAGUCAAGAUUCUAUCUGUACCUUUCAAAACUUUGGCUUCUAUGAAUAAAAGUAGUUCAAUCAGCCAGGUUAGAAUGACCUUCAGAUUAUCAGUCCGGAGCAUUUAGGCUAUCCUUCAUGUGUGAAUACAGUUUAUAUAAGUUUCUACACUCACAUUUUUAAAAACUUUACAAGCUGACAGUAGUAACAUACAGAGGGAAUUAUUACCCCCAAGUCUAGAAAUUUGCAGUCUUUCAAUGUUCUUUUGUGAGUAUUAAAGUUUUACAACUUAAAAUUACAGGUAUACUACAACUUUAAUCAAUACUUCAAAUUCAUAUACAAGAAAGACUAGACAGUGAUGAUUCACUUUGUCAAAGAAUGUGUCAUUGAAAGUCUGUAAAUAGCUCAUCUAUGACAGAAUAUGGCUUCUCCAUAAAAUCAUGGAUAUCUAGUAACUGCUUUCUUCUUUUUUUUUUUGAAAUUAACAAAUGGUAUUGCCAGUAGUAUCACAUUGAGUUGCUAUCUUUUCUUCUGAAGAUGCCAAAGCACUGCCACAUCUGUGACCUUUUUCCAAAGUUUUUCAGUGGGUUUGGUAGUUUAACACCCCUUUACCACAAUGUUAUUUCUUUUUAGUGAUAGGGAAACUGAGGGAUUAAUAGACUUGUCAGCAAUCACAAAACAAGAUUAUAGCAAAACCGGAGCUUACUCUUGAUCUGUCCAACUAGGAAAUGUAGUUUAAAAAAAAACUUUAUCCUGAGUGGCCACAUAUCAUAUUUAAAAAGAAAAAUAAAGAAGUAAUAUAGUCAUUAAUGGAUUUUGUUUGGAUUUUCUGUUGCCCUACAUUGCAGCAUUUAAACAACUUGUAAAACCACAGAGUUAAUAUCUUACAUUCUAAGUUAAAUUCCAUAAAAUAUAAUACAGGCCUUAAUAGGACAUUAUGUUUAUUAUCAGUUUGAAAUGCACCCUUUACUUUUACCAAAUUGCUACAUUUUGCUUGAACAUCAAAGGUCUUUGGACAUCAAGGAAAUCUUCACUAAAAAAAAAAAAAAGACAUCAUUGUUUCACAGUAUAUUAAACUCAAAAAGAGUAUUUAAUAGAAGUUUCCUUAAAACACCUCAUUAUCAAGUAGGCAUUUGUGCAUCUCAGUCAAAUUAUAUUUUUCUUUAUAAAAGUAUUUAUGGAAUUUUAUUAGUCUUAGUUCUUUCUCAUUACAUUUUUUUUCCUUUUUGGGCAAUACCACACAACGGACUCACUGAAGGGGUUUAUUAAUAUGAUAUUGUUCCAGAAAUGGAACCCUAGGAAAAUCAUACUAAUAAAUCAAGUACCACUUAUUUAGACAACUGAUAUUUAUUUCUACCAAAUGCUUUCUGGAACCUGAAAACUAUUUCUCCAUUUUGUAUUUUUCUAUUAGGUUGGCGCAAAAGUAAUUGUGGUUUUUGCCAUCAUGUAAGUGGCAAAAACCACAAUUACUUUUGCACCAAACUCUAAUAAUUUGGUAAUAAAAAACACAGAAAAUAAGCAUAAGCUAUUUCUAAACUCCGGAAAAAAUUGUUAACUGGGCUAUAGGUAGUCCAAUUCUUAAUACACAACACAGAGAAUGUUCAAUAAAUGUCACUGUCUGGUAGUAUUAAUGCUAAAGGGUUACUUCUCUUUGCCUAGGCCGUUGCUUAAUUUCUAUGGAAAGUAUUUUCUUUAUCCCAUAAUGUUUAAUGUAUCAUUAUUAUUUUAAAUAUAUUAUAUCUUCAUUAAAAAAAAAGUCAGGUUUUCUUGAGUAUCUAGAGUUUACAUUCCAGGAUUUUCUAUGAAAUAAUGCACCAUCUGGUACUGAUAUGGUUAGAUAAUAACCUAUGAAAAUUUGGGGGUAUGAUGUUUGCAGAUGAUGAAAAGAUCUUGCUGUAGCAGUUUUUUAUUUUAUAUCAGUAGAAAUUCUCCUUAAUUUUUAACUGCUAUUAUUCUCCUGUAUUAUGUUUUAUAAAUGUACCUCAUGCAUCACUGCAAUUUGAAAUAUUUGAAAAAAGUACCAGGUACAGAAGAAACAGUCAAAUUGGGGGCUCUAAGAGCAGUAAUCGAGGAUUCCCACAGCCUCUAGUAUGGUCUCUGGGUGCAGGCAUGCAGCCUGGUAACUGCAUUAAGACUCCUAGUCUUGAGGUUUGGGACUCCAGGGAUCUCUUUCUUCCAGUGAGUUAGGCUACCAUGUUACUUAUUAACAACACUCUAUACAGGGAGAAUAUGUACUUGCAUAUACAUCCUGCUUUCUAUCAUUUAAAUUAGUUAUUUAAAGGCUUUCAAUUCUCUGUGGACCAACUUAUGAAUUACAUACUUUUUUAUUUAGAUAUAACUAUGCCACUUUUUGUCCUCUACAUUGAUUUCAAACUUAAUUGCAAAAAUCAGAAUUCUUAUUUCUUCAUAGCAGUUUGAUGUAAUAAAUUCUGUACAUUUUUUUAAGGGCAAAUGUAUAAAAGUAGCUAGGGCCUUUAAACUUUUGGAAAACAGUAUUUUCAAGAGAACUAUUAAACACAAACACAAAUCCUUAAACAUCUAAACGAGACUUUUAAAAGUUAUAAAUCAUAUGCUUUUCCUAAGAUGUCUUUGAACACCUUUAGCACCCUCAUUACCAGAAAUUUAGUCCACUUCUGGAUCUCUUCUAAAUUAUCUUUAUCUUUCCUUUCAUCUCAUAAUAUAUCCUUUUAAGGAGAAAUGGUCUUACAGAUUACUUUAAGAUUUUUCCUUUAAAUAUAUGAUUUAAGAGUAUUACAACGAGUAAUCAAGAAGUUUAUAUGAUAAAAUAAUGUAAAGGGAUGAGCAGGCAUAUAAUACUCAUUUUUCCAAAAGCACCACCAUCAACACUACCCAUUGAUAACCACCUUAAACAAUCUGGUAAAUCAAUCCAAAAUUAACUUAAGCUUUUAUAAAUUCAUAUUGGAUUUAACCAUUUGAUCUAAUUUAUUGAUGGAAAACUGCCUCUGACAAUUACUGAAAUUACAGAUUUAGAAAAGAAACAUUCCAUUAGCUAUCGCUGCCACAAUAGCAUAACGUUACAUUUUAUUCCAUUACUUUCGUCCACCCCCUUAAGAAACAGGGAUUUUAUGUGGUCUUAUUUCACAUUCUGACUCUAGUCACUUGGGUUUGGAGGGCAUGGUUUCCACUAAGAUUAAAAGACCUAGUUGUAUAAAUUACAACUAAAGACCUAAAAAAUUCUCUGCAAAUCUAAUUCUCAAAACACCUUUUGGGAUUAAAAAGUAUUUCUAUUCUUCAAAGAUUAGAGAACCGAGUUCAACGAUUUACUGAUUUAAGUUAUCAUAAUGUGAUUGCUAACGCUGCAGUAGAUAUGAAAUCUCGAUUUCCAUUAAGACUUAGAUUUUACCUAAAUGAUGACUGCUUUAGUAUGUCAAAGUUUAGGAGCCCAUCCCCAUUUUUUUUUAACUGCUUAAAAGAAUGGCCUUACCAUUUUCUUUGGCCAGGAACUAGCUACAAGAUGAUAAAUUUGCCAGUACUUUCUUUUCAUAGUUAUGCUUUGUACUGCAACAGGAAAGGGUGCUUUAUAACUCGUUAUGGUUGUUUGUGGCCCAAUCCAAAUCAUAUAACACCCUGGCUGCUACUAACAGUUUUAGAAUAAACAAAAAGAACUAUAAUGCAGUAGGUUCUACAUUUAUAAAGCCUAUAAACUGAUUUCGUGCCGAAAGUAAAAACAGUGUCAGGAGUUUAAAUGAAUCCUGGAAUCACAGCAAAUUCAGGAAAUUUAGGAAUACGUUAGUAACCAUUAAGCUUUUUAAAAACUGACUUCACCCUGGGCAAGUAACCAUCCCCUGAUGCCGUUGUUGGAGACAGAAUUUCUGGCAGGAAGAUAAUUUUCUGACUCAAUCUGGCUUGCUGUUCUUGUUUAAUCAUCCCCAUUUCUCUGAACAUUUUACUCCUCUGACGACAAUGGUCAACAUUUAUUUUCAGAAGUUUUAAAGUGAUUUAGUUCUUCCAGCCGCAUCUCUCUUUAUCCUAUCUAAGUUUUCCCCAGCCCCCAUUCCUAUCGCCCUCGUUUCACUAAGAUUUUGCUAAACAUUAGACACAAGCACAUGACCUCCAGUCUUCCAAUGUCUCGGAACAAACCGACGUAAAAACAUCUGAUUAGUUCCAUUGUAAGCUUCCCUAGGCUUGGAAUUUAAAAAUUGUCUUUAGCUCGUCAAUUCUUAAAGAACCUUCAACACAAAAUUUAAAUUUAAAAAAUUUUAAAUAAAGAAACCGCUCCCUUUUUUAACCUUUAGCUCCGCCCAUUGCCCCCCCCCCAGGUUCCACGCGAUACUGCAGGAAACCGGAGGGGGCGGAGCGGUGACGUCACGACGCCGGUGCGUCACGGAACGGCGGCGGCUGCGGCGCUGGCGGUAGCUGCGGCAGCGGCGGCAUUUUAGUCGGCAGCGGCGGCGGCAGCGGGGCUGCUGCUUCUCCCAGCAUCCCUGGCGCGGCCAUUUCAGCCCCAUCUUGGCCCAGCGGAGGGAGCUGCAGCCGCCGCUUCAGCAGUUUGAAUUUCAGUUUCUCCGGGGUUUAGGAAUUGGGCGCACCGAGAAGGAGCCGAAGAAGCCACCACCGCUACCUCACAUAGCCGGGGUGCCUCCGCUCCCGUGCCAGCGGUCUGCCGCCGCCGCCGCCCCUCUGUGAGAGAAGCCGCGAGGGGAGGCCGAGACCGCCGUCGCCGCCCGCCCGCCCGCAGGGGUGGUUCCCCCUGUAAGGGGAGGACCGAGCCGGCUUUCCCCUCCCCCAGAGCGGGUUUCCGCCAGAGACAGUCGACAUGUCCCUGGGGUUGAGCUCCGGCUAGAGCCGGGGAGGGAGGGCCGCCUGCCCGCGCCGCAGCCCCACCGCCCGCCGGCGGACCUUCAGCCAGUCCCGGUCCGCGGCUCCCGGCUGAAUCAGGCAUCUCCGACUCCGGACUCGCCACUCCUUCCCUCAGUCGGAGAGCCCAGCGCUGACGCCGGCACCGGCCUGAGGAGCCCGAGCGGGGCAGCACCGCCCCUCACGCCGCCGCCACCGCCACCGCCUCCUCCUCCUCCUCCUCUUCGCCCUCCCACUCCCACCCCCAGCCAAGGCCUGCUGACCGCGCCGAGCGCCGAGCUGGACUGACCACGGCUGCCGGGAGACGGGAGAGGAAGCAGCCGGCCCGCCCCUGGGUUCGCGCUCUCGCCGCCUCUGAGGGAAUUGAAUUGAGGCGCCGCGGCUGCGGGAGCUGAAAAGGAAGGAGGAGCCGCCGCGGGACUGAGACGGGGGCAGAGCCGAAGAGACAGACAGACACAGAGAAGGAAACGAGGAGGAGGAUGUCUCACCGGGCGACCAGCGCCUGGAUCAGCUCGUGACUUACAGCGGCGGGCCUCGGACCCCAGCGCAGACUCGGACUUUUGUCUUUGGGGGCCCGUGCUCUGCCCUCCCUGGUUUCCGGCAGGACCCGGAGGAGCCGGCGUGCCUCUCUGCCCUCCAGCCUUCUUCACCAUGUCCAAGAUGCCGGCCAAAAAGAAGAGCUGCUUCCAGAUCACCAGUGUCACCACGGCCCAGGUGGCCACUAGCAUCACCGAGGACACUGAGAGCUUGGACGACCCGGACGAGUCACGUACAGAGGACGUCUCCUCCGAGAUUUUCGACGUCUCUCGGGCCACGGAUUAUGGCCCUGAGGAGGUCUGCGAGCGCAGCUCUUCCGAAGAGACGCUUAACAAUGUUGGGGAUGCGGAGACUCCCGGGACCGUCUCCCCAAACCUCCUUCUGGAUGGGCAGCUGGCAGCGGCGGCUGCUGCUCCCGCCAACGGAGGAGGAGUCGUUUCGGCCCGGAGCGUGUCUGGGGCGCUCGCCAGUACCCUGGCGGCGGCCGCCACUUCGGCCCCCGCCUCAGGAGCACCCGGCGGCCCUCCGGUCGCGGGCUCAUCCGCCGGGCCAGUGACUGCAGCCCCAUCUCAGCCUCCCACCACUUGUAGUUCCCGUUUUCGCGUGAUCAAGCUGGACCACGGGAGCGGAGAGCCCUAUCGACGCGGCCGAUGGACGUGUAUGGAAUACUAUGAGCGGGAUUCAGACAGCAGCGUCCUGACUAGAUCCGGGGAUUGCAUUAGACACAGCAAUACUUUUGACCAGACUGCGGAGCGGGACAGCGGCCUGGGCGCCACCGGAGGGUCGGUGGUGGUAGUAGUGGCCUCCAUGCAGGGGGCGCACGGGCCCGAGUCGGGAACUGACAGCUCCUUGACUGCUGUGUCACAGCUACCCCAGUCGGAGAAAAUGAGCCAGCCCACUCCGGCCCAGCCGCAGAGUUUUAGCGUUGGGCAGCCACAGCCGCCGCCGCCACCCGUAGGUGGGGCUGUGGCUCAAACCUCGGCUCCGCUGCCGCCGUUCCCUGGAGCCGCGACCGGGCCGUCGCCAAUGAUGGCAGCCGCGCAGCCCAGUCAGCCCCAGGGAACGGGGCCCGGGGGACAGACUCUGCCGCCGACGAAUGUAACCCUGGCGCAGCCGGCUAUGUCCCUGCCUCCGCAGCCGGGCCCUGCAGUCGGCGCUUCUGCUGCGCAGCAGCCCCAGCAGUUCGCGUAUCCUCAGCCUCAGAUACCGCCCGGACAUUUGCUGCCCGUCCAGCCCUCCGGCCAGAGUGAGUACCUGCAGCAGCACGUGGCCGGCCUGCAGCCGCCAAGCCCCGCGCAGCCGUCGUCCACCGGCGCCGCAGCGAGCCCCGCCACGGCGGCUAGCCUUCCCGUGGGCACCGGCCAGAAUGUCUCCUCGGUGGGCGCGCAGCUCUUGGGCGCGUCUUCCCAGCCCAGCGAAGCCAUGGCCCCCCGGACGGGACCAGCGCAAGGUGGGCAGGCCGCGCCAUGUCAGCCGGCUGGAGUGCCCCCGGCUACUGUGGGAGGCGUGGUGCAGCCGUGCAUGGGUCCUGCCGGGGCUGGGCAGCCCCAGUCCGUGCCUCCACCGCAGAUGGGUGGCAGUGGUCCGCUGUCAGCCGUACCUGGUGGCCCUCACGCCGUGGUGCCCGGAGUUCCAAACGUGCCUGCAGCCGUGCCCGCUCCAAGCGUGCCUAGUGUGUCUACCACUUCUGUUACUAUGCCAAAUGUACCCGCGCCUCUGGCCCAGUCUCAACAGCUGAGCAGCCAUACGCCAGUCAGCAGGAGCAGCAGCAUAAUCCAGCACGUUGGGCUGCCCUUAGCGCCAGGCACACACAGUGCACCAACAAGUCUACCACAGUCUGACCUAAGCCAGUUUCAGACUCAGACCCAACCUUUAGUCGGGCAAGUCGACGAUACUAGAAGAAAAUCAGAACCCCUACCUCAACCACCACUUUCUCUCAUUGCUGAAAAUAAGCCUGUUGUGAAGCCGCCUGUUGCAGAUGCCCUGGCAAACCCCCUUCAGUUAACACCUAUGAACAGUCUGGCCACCUCUGUAUUCAGCAUAGCUAUUCCUGUUGAUGGUGAUGAAGACAGGAAUCCUUCAACUGCUUUCUACCAAGCGUUCCAUUUGAACACGUUACAGGAAUCAAAGAGCCUCUGGGAUAGAAUUUUUUUUAGAAUUCAGCAUCGGAGGAGGAAUGUGACAUAAUAAUGAUCGAAAGCCGAAAGUUUAAAAGUUGUGAUGCCCUCACAUGGUUGGAGGGUUAUUCUAGCUUCUAAGGACUGAAUGUUGUCCACAAGAGUGUCAUCAGGUCAUAAAUUGUGCAUCUGGGGGAGGUGUUGUAGCCAUUGACAACAAAAUAGAACAAGCAAUGGAUCUGGUGAAAAGCCAUUUGAUGUAUGCAGUAAGAGAAGAAGUGGAAGUUUUAAAGGAACAAAUAAAAGAAUUAGUUGAAAGAAACUCUUUACUUGAACGAGAAAAUGCACUGUUAAAAUCUCUUUCAAACAAUGAUCAAUUAUCCCAACUCCCAACCCAACAGGCCCAUCCUGGUAGCACUUCUCAACAGCAAGCAGUGAUAGCACAGCCUCCGCAGCCAACGCAACCUCCACAGCAGCCGAAUGUCUCCUCAGCAUAAAGCUUUCUUAAGCCUCAUUAAGAAAAAAACUGAAAGCAAUCUAUCCUUGUGUGCCACUGGUGUUCUUUCCACUUUAUACGAAAGCAAGUAGCCAUGCUUUGGUUGUGUGUUUGGCCUUUUCAGUAUUAGACAAUCAUUCUACAAGAGCUUUUCCUCUCUCUGAAAUGUCAUGCAGCGCUGUUGAUGUCCAGUUCUAUGUCAUCAGUACACAAGGAGAAUAAUGGGGUUUAUUAAAGCGAGCAAAGUCUGCAUUUUACCUGGUGCGCAUGAGUGGGGUCUUUAAGAGUUUUGGUGGCUCUCCCAUGUUUCCUAUUACCCUUGGAUUUACCCUGAGCCUUCCUAUCACAUUAUAAAUAACAGUUCAUCUAAAGAGCCACUUUUCUUUCAAUAUCAGUAACAUUUGCCUACGUAAGUUUUCAUUUAUUUGUGUUUUAUUUAUUACAGGGCUGCUAUUUUCAUAAUGUACAUGAACAAUGUCACAGAACUUUUUUAAUUUUUUUGAAUAAUUAUAAGUAUCAGUAAAGGAAGUGAAAGACAGGAUUGCAUUUAGUAGAUAAAACGUUUAGGCAAUAAUUGAACAAAAGAAUCCUGGCAUAUUUCUAACACUAAUGGCAAUUUACUUUUGGUAUUUAUUUUCAGUAGUAAAGACCCAGCUUGAAUGUAAAUUUUGUAUAGUGUAAGUAUGAAGAACAUAGUGCAACUGUACAGGUAGUCACCAGUUAUUGUGAUAUAAUAAAUAAUUGGGCUAUUUUGAUGAAGAAAACUUUGUUCAUUUGUUUCUACUUUCUAAGAGAAAUUGCCACGAUUCCUCUGCUUUUCAACAUUUCGUAUGACUUUUUUUUCGGGUGGGAAUAAAAAGCUGUGAAAUUGUUCAACCUACUUUGUAACCAAAGAAGCAAAGCUGUGUAAUGGAGUUUUUUGGGGUUUUUUUUGUUUUUUUUUUUUUUUGUCUUUUUUUUAUAAUGCACAUUCUUUAUGUAUUUUUAUUUAGUGUUUUCUCAGUCACAAUUUUCUUUGCUGUCUAGCAUGAUCUGCAUGACCUAUAAUCUUUGAACCACUUUCGUACCUCAUGUUUUUAUCCAGCACUCUUAUUGUAAUAUGUACUAGUCUGUGAACAAUGUCAAAUAAAAGAGAACGAACAGGUAGUUUGGUGGAGCUGAGCUAGUGUACAAUACACUAGUUGUAAAAAAAAAAAAAAAAAGUGAGCCAUCUUUUGUUCAUUUAAAAUGGUGUUUUGAAUUUCGUAUGCAGAAAACGUUUUGUUACAUUGCAGAUUUUAAUGUAUUUAAUAAAUGCAACAUGCAGAUUAAGUGCAGUGUAUACUGAGUAUUUAAAUUAAAAUGUACAUUUCAUAAAUACAGUUUCAAAAGAAAGCAUCAUUUUGUGUAUACUAACACAUUAAGUGUAUGUCAGAAAUUGAUGUAUAAAUAUAUAUUUUAACACAUUUUCUGAAAUUAAACUGCAGUUUUGUUGAAAUAUUUGGCUCUAUAUGUGUUCAAAAUUUGACUAGAUUUGUAUUUUCACAAUUCAAAAUACUCCUUAAAGACCUGUUAAUAAUGACUUACUGAUAGUUCUUAAAUUUUCAAAUUAAAACAAUUUAAAGAAUGCAAGAAUAGUGAGCAAUAUUUGUACUCAAUAUUCAUAUUAUGUUAGUGAUACUGAAGUAGGAAAUCCUUGUCUACCAAAACUUUUACUUGAAUUCAGAAAGGUGCCUGUAGAAAUUAAUAUGCGCUGCAUCUGUAGCCAGCUAGCUAAUCAGAGUCAAUGAGAACCAGUAGUUAGUUCUCCCUGUUAAAAGAUGUGUUUAUUUGAAGUAAAAAUUUGAUCAGAUUAGCCACAAACGAGGCAUAAAAUUGGGAUGUACAUGAGAUUGCCAAAUAUUUUCUAUUCUAGUUGCGCUGUAAGACAUUGAACAAAAUGUUAAUGAAUAACAUUAUAAAUAAAGGAACUAACUACAUAGGCUUGAGUAAGCAACCCUAAGGAUGUGUAGUAAGAUUCCAAGUAGAGCUGCUACAGGUGAGAUACUUAAUGGAAUGUGAAACUUCGCUGUUGGACUGUUAACCAGAGAGGUUUGCUGGCAGUGCCCCUCCAGUGCUAACUGUGAUAUGUGAUAUUUAAUACAGGUGGAGAAAAACUAGUCUUAGAAAAAGAGGUGGGAUUUUUGUGAAAAUGGAUUCCAUUUUGAUUCUGGGGCUGGAAAAACACUUUAUAAACAAAGUAAUAGUCUCCAAGGAAAUGAAUAAUAUGUUAAGGUUUAAAAUGGUAACAGCAGUUAUUACUACUUUUAUAUUAAGAAAAAAAUAGAAAAGGAGAGAAAACAUGGGUAGUUCACAGAAGAGAUAGAGCAGUUUCUAAAGGUUCAACUUCUAGUAACCUAAAAAAUGCAAAUUAAUAUUUUUAGCGAAUUGUAAUAAGUGUCCAAAGUAGCAGGACUUAACAUAGAAAGACAGGCUUUCCUGUGUACUUUUAGAAAGUAAUUUGGCAAUAUGUUUCAAGAGCCUUAAAUAAUAAGCUUUUCAGUAUAACGACAGAAGAUACUCAAUUCAUGGUGCAUUGUUCAAAAAUGCAAAAUUAUUGUCGUGCCUGCCCUCUGCUUUCCCAUCAUCCCCCCCUGCUGUCAAAAUCCAAACUAUCCCUACUGUCAACCCUUCCCCCAGCUGAUUGUUUAGGAUCUUAAGUAACUUCCAGUUCAGCUAUUUGAGUCUCCAGCUAUUUGGAGUCUCACAGGAAUGCCAUCUAUCUAAUUCUGUCAGUGUAAUGCCCAUAGAGCAAGGUCCCACAUAAGCUUUUCUGUUUUAGCCAAUAAAUCAUAAGUAAAAAUUUUUCUGAUACGGUAAUUGUCUACAGUUCAAACCUAACUUUCCCCAAAUAAAAUUUAUUUUAGGUUGUUCCAAUGUGAUCUCACAGCUUGCCACACCAAAAACAAAUAGUAGGGGUUAGGAGGCGUUAAAGGUACAGUUUCCUUAACUCCUGAUUGUCCAAAAUAGCUGAAUUUUUCAAAUUCUAUUUAUAAUAUCCUAUACUAAUUUAGAAGUAUUGAGAUAACGUUUUAUAAUCAAGCCUCCAGUGAUUGGGGAUCACAACUGCCAUUAUUCACAAGAAUUUUCACAGGUGAAUGAUUGUUUCUCCAAGUUGCAAACUCCAGUAAUUCAUGGACCUUAAAAAAAAAAAAAAAAAA